rnacentral:rRNA from 1 species
CCUACGGGAGGCAGCAGUGGGGAAUCUUGCACAAUGGGGGAAACCCUGAUGCAGCGACGCCGCGUGAGCGAUGAAGCCCUUCGGGGUGUAAAGCUCUUUCGGCAGGGAAGAUUAUGACGGUACCUGCAGAAGCAGCUGCGGCUAACUACGUGCCAGCAGCCGCGGUAAUACGUAGGCAGCAAGCGUUGUUCGGAGUUACUGGGCGUAAAGGGUGUGUAGGCGGUUUGGUAAGUCUGGUGUGAAAUCUCCCGGCUCAACUGGGAGGGUGCGCCGGAAACUGCCGGACUCGAGUGCGGGAGAGGAGAGUGGAAUUCCUGGUGUAGCGGUGAAAUGCGUAGAUAUCAGGAGGAACACCGGUGGUGUAGACGGCUCUCUGGACCGUAACUGACGCUGAGACACGAAAGCGUGGGUAGCAAACAGGAUUAGAUACCCUGGUAGUCCACGCCCUAAACGAUGCACAUUUGGUGUGGGUCAUUCAGUUGAUCCGUGCCGGAGCUAACGCGUUAAAUGUGCCGCCUGGGGAGUACAGUCGCAAGGCUGAAACUCAAAGGAAUUGACGG